rnacentral:rRNA from 1 species
CAUGCGUCAUGCAUUAGGAGCGGCGAGUGUGCCGGAUUUCCUUUUUAGCUUUUGCGGCUUCUCUCGCGGCUAAGUUGGCAUUUGAAGAAGGUAUCUUUUCCUCCGCUUAUUGAUAUGCAUUCUUGGAACAGAACGUCACAGAGGGUGAGAAUCCCGUGCGAUGAGAUGUCCCAGACCUAUGUAAAGUUCCUUCGAAGAGUCGAGUUGUUUGGGAAUGCAGCUCUAAGUGGGUGGUAAAUUCCAUCUAAAGCUAAAUAUUGGCGAGAGACCGAUAGCGAACAAGUACAGUGAUGGAAAGAUGAAAAGAACUUUGAAAAGAGAGUGAAAAAGUACGUGAAAUUGUUGAAAGGGAAGGGCUUGAGAUCAGACUUGGUAUUUUGUAUGUUACUCUCUCGGGGGUGGCCUCUACAGUUUACCGGGCCAGCAUCAGUUUGAGCGGUAGGAUAAGUGCAAAGAAAUGUGGCACUGCUUCGGUAGUGUGUUAUAGUCUUUGUCGAUACUGCCAGCUUAGACUGAGGACUGCGGCUUCGGCCUAGGAUGUUGGCAUAAUGAUCUUAAGUCGCCCGUCUUGAAACACGGACCGAA